UACAGAGGGUGCAAGCGUUAAUCGGAAUUACUGGGCGUAAAGCGUGCGCAGGCGGUUCGUUGUGUCGGCGGUGAAAGCCCCGGGCUUAACCUGGGAAUGGCCGUUGAAACUGGCGAACUGGAGUGUGGCAGAGGGGGGUGGAAUUCCGCGUGUAGCAGUGAAAUGCGUAGAGAUGCGGAGGAACACCGAUGGCGAAGGCAGCCCCCUGGGCUGACACUGACGCUCAGGCACGAAAGCGUGGGGAGCAAACAGG
rnacentral:rRNA from 1 species